AACGAACGCUGGCGGCAUGCCUAACACAUGCAAGUCGAACGAGACCUUCGGGCCUAGUGGCGCACGGGUGCGUACCGCGUGGGAACCUGCCCUUAGGUUCGGAAUAACUCCCCGAAAGGGGUGCUAAUACCGGAUAAUGUCUUCGGACCAAAGAUUUAUCGCCUUUGGAUGGGCCCGCGUUGGAUUAGCUAGUUGGUAGGGUAAAAGCCUACCAAGGCGACGAUCCAUAGCUGGUCUGAUAGGAUGAUCAGCCACACUGGGACUGAGACACGGCCCAGACUCCUACGGGAGGCAGCAGUGGAGAAUAUUGGACAAGGGGCGAAAGCCUGAUCCAGCAACGCCGCGUGAGUGAUGAAGGCCUUAGGGUUGUAAAGCUCUUUGACCCGGGAUGAUAAUGACAGUACCGGGAGAAUAAGCUCCGGCUAACUCCGUG
rnacentral:rRNA from 1 species